GUUGCCCAUCGUCGUCAGUUUCAGAGGGUACAUUUCUCAGUGCUGCUUUUUCCCCAGGUCUCCACGCCCUUGUGUGUUUCUUUUGCUUAACGAUUGCCACCUGAGCUAGCCUCUGUGGCCCAUCUUUGUCAGUUUCAGAGGGUAGAUUUCUCAGUCUUGCUCUUUCCCAAGUUCUGCACGCCCUUGUGUGUGGGUUUUUUUUUUUUUUUUUUUUUGCUCAAAUAUUGAACCUAAGCUAGCAUCUGUUGCCCUUCUUCGUCACUUUCAGAGGGUGGAUUUCUCAGUGUUGCUUUUUCCCCAGGUCUCCACGCCCUUGUGUGUUUCUUUUGCUUAAAGAUUGCCACCUGAGCUAGCCUCUGUUGCGCUUCUUUCUCAGUUUCAGAGGGUAGUUUUCUCAGUGUUGCUUUUUUCGCCAGCUCUCCACGCCCUGGUGUCUUUCUUUUCUGCUUAAAGGUUCCAACCUGAGCUAGCGUCUGUUGCCCAUGUUCCUCAGUUUCAGAGGGUGGAUUUCUCCGUGCUGCUUUUUACCCGGGUCUCCACGCCCUUGUGUGUUUCUUUUGCUUAACGAUUGCCACCUGAGCUAGCCUCUGUUGCGCUUCUUUCUCAGUUUCUGAGGGUGGAUUUCUCAGUGUUGCUUUUUCCCCAGGUCUCCACGCCCUUGUGUGUUUCUUUUGCUUAACGAUUGCCGCCUGAGCUAGCCUCUGUGGCCCAUUUUCGUCAGCUUCAGAGGGUGGAUUUCUCAGUGUUGCUUUUUCCCCAGGUCUCCACGUCCCUCAGUGUGUGUGUGUGUGUGAGUGUGUGUGUUUUCUUUGCAAGAUUGGCACUUGAGCUAACGUGUGUUGCCCAUCUUUGUCAGUUUCAGAGGCUAGAUUUUUCAGUAUCGCUCUUUCCCAAGGUCUCCACUCCCGUUGCUCUUUUCUUUGUUUCUUUGUUUCUUUGUUCUUUCUUUUUGGCUUAAAUAUUGUCACCUGAGCUAGGCUCUGUUGCCCUGCUUCCUCCGUUUCAGAGGGUACCUUUUUUCAGGGUUGCUUUUUCACCGGGUCUCCUCGCCAUUGUAGUUUUUUAUUUUAUUUAUUUAUUUUUUUGCUUAACGAUUGCCACCUGAGCUAGCCUGUGUUGCCCAUGUUCGUCAGUUUCAGAGGGUAGAUUUCUCAGCGUUGCUUUUUCCCCAGGUCUCUACGCCUGUGUGUGUGUGUGUGUGUGUGUGUGUGUGUGUGUUCUGCUUAAAGAUUGCCACCCGAGCUAGCCCCUGUUGCCCAUCUUCGUCAGUUUCAGAGGGUAGAUUUCUCAGUGUUGAUUUUCCCCCAGUUCUCCACGCCCUCGUGCUUUUUUUUUUUUUUUAAUUUCCUUAAAUGUCGGCACCUCAGCUAGCCUCUUUUUCCCAUCUUCGUCCGUUUCAGCGGGUAGACUCUCCGCCUGCCUUCGACAGACCCUCUGCGCUUGAAAGCUUUCCUCCUCCCGUCAUCACGGUCCUUCUCGGAUGACGUGCCUGGUUUCGGUUUGACCGUCCCCGCCCGCCCUGAUUUUCUAAGUCCUCCCGGGAGCCCCGGGGGCGCUCCGGCCGCUCCGGGAAGCGGCGGCCUCCCGGCCGCACCGGCUCAGCCCGGCCCGGGCCGACCCCUGGCCUCUCUGGGGGAACUCUCCCCGUCCCCUUCCCGGUGAGCGCCCGAGAAACCUUUUCCGGGUCCCCCUCCUGCGGCUGGGGCUGCGCCUUGGCGGCCGGAGCCCGCGGGCGGACGCCCCGGGGCCGAGCUGGGCCGGG
rnacentral:lncRNA from 1 species